CGUAUGUGAUGCACAGUCUAAUUUUACAACUAUGAUAAUUGGAAAGCUAGAAAUAUAACUUGUUUCAGCUCUGAAGUUCAUUUUCCUUUGACAUGUUUUUUUAAAUGCUCAAUGAUAGGAAUUGUAUGGGAAGGUCCUUACAAUCAAAUCAGAAUUGUAUGGGAAGCUGGUUAUCACCGGCGCAUCCAGAUCCAGUGCCUGAAAUACUUAGUACUGGCCAACAUACUUAUGGAAUCGCAAGUUAAUCCGUUUGAUGGGCAGGAGGCAAAACCGUACAAAAAUGACCCAGAAAUCUUGGCCAUGACAAAUUAAGAAUCAGGCUUCCUUUCAUAUCAAAGGAGCUUAAUGUACCAGAAGAUGAUGUGGAAAAGUUUCAUUGAUAUUGGUUAACAAGAUUGUUGGUUGCUUACUUUUCACUGUUUCUUAAGCCGAGGGUCUAUUGGAAACAGACUCUCUACCUUCACAAGAUAUGUAUAAGGUCUGCGUACACACUACCCUCCCCAGACCCCACUCGAGGGGUUACACUGAGUUUGUUGUUGUUGUUGAUAUUGGAUAACAGGAUACAAGGUCAUAUUGACCAAGCAAACAAGUUGGAGCGUAGUGACAGGUCAAAUGGGACGAAGAAGUAUACAGCUAUAAAUAAAGGGAACACACAAUUUCACUCUCUUUAUCAAACCAUCAGCAAUAAAGUGGGAUAAAAUCUGUGUUCAGCUGAAGAAGACUGAUCUGUUGUGCUAGCAACACAUGAUUAGCAGCAACUUACAAAAUGAACAGAAGGACAAGAAGAGUAUACUAAUAUCUCCAUUCUACAUCUAUUUUUUCAACUUUACAAAUUUAGCUCUUUGUAUUCCGUCCACUUUUUCAAUUUGAAAUCUCUAAAACUCUGAGAAUAUGAGUAAUUUUAU